rnacentral:rRNA from 1 species
UACGAAGGGUGCAAGCGUUACUCGGAAUUACUGGGCGUAAAGGGCGCGUAGGCGGCCUUCUAAGUCGAACGUGAAAUCCCCGGGCUCAACCCGGGAACUGCGUCCGAUACUGGAAGGCUUGAAUCCGGGAGAGGGAUGCGGAAUUCCAGGUGUAGCGGUGAAAUGCGUAGAUAUCUGGAGGAACACCGGUGGCGAAGGCGGCUUCCUGGCCCGUAACUGACGCUGAGGCGCGAAAGCGUGGGGAGCAAACAGG